rnacentral:rRNA from 1 species
AAACCAACAGGGAUUGCCUCAGUAACGGCGAGUGAAGCGGCAAAAGCUCAAAUUUGAAAUCUGGUACCUCUGGUGCCCGAGUUGUAAUUUGAAGAUAGUUUUCUGGUAUUGGGCCCUUGUCUAUGUUCCUUGGAACAGGACGUCAUAGAGGGUGAGAAUCCCGUCUGGCGGGGCGCCCUUUGCUAUGUAGAUUUCUAUCGACGAGUCGAGUUGUUUGGGAAUGCAGCUCUAAGUGGGUGGUAAAUUCCAUCUAAAGCUAAAUAUUGGCGAGAGACCGAUAGCGAACAAGUACAGUGAUGGAAAGAUGAAAAGAACUUUGAAAAGAGAGUGAAAAAGUACGUGAAAUUGUUGAAAGGGAAGGAUAUUGGAUCAGACUUGGUGUUGCAUGAUUAUCUUCCCCUUGUGGGUUGUGCACUCGUGCUUCACUGGGCCAGCAUCGGUUCGGACGGCAAGAUAAUGACAUUGGGAACGUGGCUCUUUCUUCGGUUAGAGUGUUAUAGCCCAUGUUGAUGUUGCCUGCCUGGACCGAGGACUGCGGCUUCGGCCUAGGAUGCUGGCGUAAUGAUUCAAUAUCGC